GCUCCGGUGGCCUAGUGGUUAGAGCAUCUGCCUCUGAUUCUAGAGGUCACUGGUUCGAACUCCGGCCGAGUU